GACGAACGCUGGCGGCGUGCCUAAUACAUGCAAGUAGAACGCUGAAGGAGGAGCUUGCUUCUCUGGAUGAGUUGCGAACGGGUGAGUAACGCGUAGGUAACCUGCCUGGUAGCGGGGGAUAACUAUUGGAAACGAUAGCUAAUACCGCAUAAGAGUAGAUGUUGCAUGACAUUUGCUUAAAAGGUGCAAUUGCAUCACUACCAGAUGGACCUGCGUUGUAUUAGCUAGUUGGUGGGGUAACGGCUCACCAAGGCGACGAUACAUAGCCGACCUGAGAGGGUGAUCGGCCACACUGGGACUGAGACACGGCCCAGACUCCUACGGGAGGCAGCAGUAGGGAAUCUUCGGCAAUGGACGGAGGUCUGACCGAGCAACGCCGCGUGAGUGAAGAAGGUUUUCGGAUCGUAAAGCUCUGUUGUAAGAGAAGAACGAGUGUGAGAGUGGAAAGUUCACACUGUGACGGUAUCUUACCAGAAAGGGACGGCUAACUACGUG
rnacentral:rRNA from 1 species